UCUUGCAGUGUCUUCUCUCCAGCAACACUGAGCUCCUGGUCAAACUUCAGCCAUGAAGAUUCUCUACCUGCUCUUUGCUGUCUUUUUCCUGGUGCUGCAAAGCUCUCCAGGAUUCACCCGAUUCAUCAAUAACUCCGUUGGUUGUUUUCAUGGUGGGGGCAUCUGCCUCUUUACAUGUUACCCCCAUUUCAUACGAAUCGGAAGUUGUAGUUUUGGGCAGAGUUGCUGUAGAAGAAGAUGGUAAAGAGAGUGAGUGAUGGCAGCAGAGAUUGUCAAUGCAGGAUCUCUCGGAAUCUGGCAGACGACGUCUUGCUUCUAAAAUCCUUGGAUGCUUUUCAUCUGGGCUGGAAAGAAUCUCGCAAGCCGGAAAAAAUCCACAAGGGAGCCCUUGUGUCCCCCCACACCCCCAAUAGCUUGUUCUUCUCCUUUUAGUAAAAGUAGCUGCUGGUUGUGGUGGUUUGCAAAAAUGCCUGUGAGUAUUUUGAUUCCACACAGGUGCUGUUUUGCUAUUUCUUUUCCAUAAAAAUCCCUUCCUUCUGUUAUCUUAACUACGUAUAAAUAAAAGAAAUGG